AUUGAACGCUGGCGGCAUGCCUUACACAUGCAAGUCGAACGGCAGCACGGGGCAACCUGGUGGCGAGUGGCGAACGGGUGAGUAAUGCAUCGGAACGUGCCAUUGAGUGGGGGAUAACGUAGCGAAAGUUGCGCUAAUACCGCAUAUUCUGUGAGCAGGAAAGCAGGGGACCGCAAGGCCUUGCGCUCUUUGAGCGGCCGAUGUCAGAUUAGCUAGUUGGUGAGGUAAAGGCUUACCAAGGCGACGAUCUGUAGCGGGUCUGAGAGGAUGAUCCGCCACACUGGAACUGAGACACGGUCCAGACUCCUACGGGAGGCAGCAGUGGGGAAUUUUGGACAAUGGGCGCAAGCCUGAUCCAGCCAUGCCGCGUGAGUGAAGAAGGCCUUCGGGUUGUAAAGCUCUUUCGGCCGGGAAGAAAUCGCAUGGGUUAAUACCCUGUGUGGAUGACGGUACCGGAAUAAGAAGCACCGGCUAACUACGUG
rnacentral:rRNA from 1 species